UGGUUGAACAUUGAUGAUGAUGGAUUACAAGAUCAUGGUGACUUCAUGGGCCUUGAAAUUCCAAUGGAUGACCUUUCAGACUUAAACAUGAUGGUUUAAUAUCUUUCUCUGUAUAGUCUUGUUCAUUAUACUAUUGACAAAGAAACAUAAUCACUGCUGUCAAGAAAUGACCAGUUACUUGGAUGGUUAUUGGCCGCGGGUCCACAAUUAGGUUAUAUAGAUUCUUUGGUAGACUUCACAAGA
rnacentral:misc_RNA from 1 species